GCUUAAAAUCCAAAGGACUUGACGGUGCCCCAUCCCCCUAGAGGAGCCUGUUCUAUAAUCGAUAAUCCACGCUAUACCUCACCAUUUUUUGCCACACGCAGCCUGUAUACCUCCGUCGCAAGCUUGCCAUAUGAAUGUUAUAUAGCAGGCUCAAUGACCUACCACCGUCAAUACGUCAGGUCAAGGUGCAGCUUAUAAAAUGGGAAGCAAUGGGCUACAAUUUCUAGCUUAGAACAAACGAAUAAUCAUCUGAAACUAUGAUCAUGAAGGUGGAUCUAGUAGUAAAAGGGAAAGAUAGUGCCCCCUUUAAUAGUGGCCAUGGGACGCGUACAAACCGCCCGUCACCCUCCUCGAUAGCACAUCAUCAGUUAAUAACACAUUUUUCGCACUUUAGAGGAGGCAAGUCGUAACACGGUAAGCGUACUGGAAAGUGUGCUUGGACAGUCAAAAUGUAGCUUAGUAAAGCCUUCCGCUUACACCGGAAAGACAUUUGUUAAACUCAAAUCAUUUUGAGCUGUUAAUC
rnacentral:rRNA from 1 species